rnacentral:rRNA from 1 species
AACGUAGGAGGCAAGCGUUAUCCGGAUUUACUGGGCGUAAAGCGCGCGUAGGCGGGUUUUCAAGUCGGUUGUGAAAUCCCUCAGCUCAACUGAGGAACUGCAUCCGAUACUGUUUGUCUUGAGGACGAGAGGGGAGAGUGGAACUUCUGGUGGAGCGGUGAAAUGCGUAGAUAUCAGAAGGAACGCCGGUGGCGAAAGCGACUCUCUGGCUCGUAUCUGACGCUGAGGCGCGAAAGCUUGGGUAGCAAACGGG